GUCUACGGCCAUACCACCCUGAACACGCCCGAUCUCGUCUGAUCUCGGAAGAAAUGACAUGGGCGUUGAAGGGGUUGGAAGAUGGCUCAGGCAGUAGAGC
rnacentral:rRNA from 1 species